rnacentral:rRNA from 1 species
AGACCUGAUAGUAUGGUGAGAUUGCAUGAUAGCACCAUUAAAGAUUUAUUGGUAAACGAUGGGGAUGCGUUCCAUUAGGUAGUAGGCGGGGUAACGGCCCACCUAGCCGACGAUGGAUAGGGGUUCUGAGAGGAAGGUCCCCCACAUUGGAACUGAGACACGGUCCAAACUCCUACGGGAGGCAGCAGUGAGGAAUAUUGGUCAAUGGGCGAGAGCCUGAACCAGCCAAGUAGCGUGAAGGAUGAAGGUCCUACGGAUUGUAAACUUCUUUUAUACGGGAAUAAAGUAUCCUACGUGUAGGAUUUUGUAUGUACCGUAUGAAUAAGCAUCGGCUAACUCCGUGCCAGCAGCCGCGGUAAUACGGAGGAUGCGAGCGUUAUCCGGAUUUAUUGGGUUUAAAGGGAGCGCAGACGGGAGAUUAAGUCAGUUGUGAAAGUUUGCGGCUCAACCGUAAAAUUGCAGUUGAUACUGGUUUCCUUGAGUGCAGUUGAGGCAGGCGGAAUUCGUGGUGUAGCGGUGAAAUGCUUAGAUAUCACGAAGAACCCCGAUUGCGAAGGCAGCUUGCUAAACUGUAACUGACGUUCAUGCUCGAAAGUGUGGGUAUCAAACAGGAUUAGAUACCCU